UACGUAGGGUGCGAGCGUUGUCCGGAAUUAUUGGGCGUAAAGGGCUCGUAGGCGGUUUGUCGCGUCGGGAGUGAAAUCCACUGGCUUAACUGGUGGCUUGCUUUCGAUACGGGCAGACUGGAGGUAUGCAGGGGAGAACGGAAUUCCUGGUGUAGCGGUGAAAUGCGCAGAUAUCAGGAGGAACACCGGUGGCGAAGGCGGUUCUCUGGGCAUGUCCUGACGCUGGAGAAGCGAAAGUGUGGGGAGCGAACAGG
rnacentral:rRNA from 1 species